GCCGCGACUUCUCAUUGGCUCUCUGCCCCGCAGCCUGCAAUGAGCCCGCCGAUUGGCCGCAGCUGGGUCCGCGCCGCCUUGUGAGGGUGGACAUCUGAGGCUUUGCGACUCGAAGCUAGGCACUUGGGCCCGACGCGCGGUUUGAACGGUGCUUGAGAAGCCGCGAAGAAGCGCCUCGCGCUCAGCGGCUUCUUCGCUGACGAAGUGCUGCGGUCUGCGUGCGUCAUGGCUGCACGGAAUAGUGUGGAGGAGUCCUGGCCAGUAGGUCUGGAUGAGGAGCCUGCCUCCGGGCGGUCCGGGACCCUCACCUGCAGGGGCGAAAGAGUCCUGUUUUCUCUCGCCCCAGAGCUAGGAGGGGCUCACUUUGGACUUAGAACUUUAUGGGGUGGAAGACAGCGGGGGCUGCCUGAGCUUGGAGACCUGAGGUAUCUAUCUGGUCCCAUGUAUGGUUUGGCCUGAGCCGUUGAGAAUGGGGGUGGAGAGAGUUGAAACAAAAUGGGCAUCCACAUACGGUUAAAACUUUAUCUUUUUGAGUUAGGAUUUUUAGGCGGCUACUUUGUCCCCCCUCACCUCGUCUGGGUUCAAAUAUUGAGCCCAGACCGUGUGCUGGACCCUGUUUUCCUGGGGAUACAGAGGUGAACCAAACAGAUGACAGUACUUACCCUUAUGGAGCUUAUAGUCGAUUGGGUUUUUAAGUUUGUGAUUUUAUACUUUUUGUAAUAAAAUAAUUACACAAA